UACAGAGGAUGCAAGCGUUAUCCGGAAUGAUUGGGCGUAAAGCGUCUGUAGGUGGCUUUUAAGUCCGCCGUCAAAUCCCAGGGCUCAACUCUGGACAGGCGGUGGAAACUACCAAGCUGGAGUACGGUAGGGGCAGAGGGAAUUCCGGUGGAGCGGUGAAAUGCGUAGAGAUCGGAAAGAACACCAACGGCGAAAGCAACUCUGCUGGGCCGACACUGACACUGAGAGACGAAAGCUAGGGGAGCGAAUGGG
rnacentral:rRNA from 1 species